AAAGAAACUGUAGACAGGACACUCUUCCCAAAGGAGGUGGAAGGAGAGUCCACAUCCAGUUUGUAGUGUUUCAAGAACGUCAUCGGGGAAGACCAUGUGGCUACCCUGCAAAUAUCAUCUUAUGGAACCUCUGCCCAAUUAGCCCAUGAAGUCGACAAAGCUCUAGUAGAAUGAGUUCUUAUCUUCAUUGGAGGCGGCCAACCUUUCGAGACAUAUGCAUUCCUGAU